UCGCGGUUUACACCGGCAGUUUCGCUAGAGUUCCCGGCAUUACCCGUUGGCAACUAACGAUAGGGGUUGCGCUCGUUAUGGGACUUAACCCGACACCUCACGGCACGAGCUGACGACAACCAUGCAGCACCUUGCAGAGAGCCCCGAAGGGAAUGAUGCUUUCACACCAAUGCACUCUACAUUUAAGCCCAGGUAAGGUUCCUCGCGUAUCAUCGAAUUAAACCACAUGUUCCUCCGCUUGUGCGGGCCCCCGUCAAUUCCUUUGAGUUUCAGCCUUGCGGCCGUACUCCCCAGGUGGAUCACUUAAUGCUUUUGCUUUGCCGCUGACUGUGUAUCGCCAACAGCUAGUGAUCAUCGUUUACGGCGUGGACUAC
rnacentral:misc_RNA from 1 species